UUUCAUCCUAGAGCAAGCACAUAUGAGCACCUGCUCUUCCAUGUUGGAAAAGUCUCAGAGGCAAGAAAAGAGGCUCUCAUGUGAAUCCAGGGAUUACUCAGCAAUGCCUGCUGCUGUCUUAAGCAAACACAUUAGUCGGUUGCUUAAAACAGAUGCAGGUCACGUUCCCUGGGCCAACAUGCUCAGACAAGACUGCUGAAUUGCCAUCUGUGCUUAAUCUGUCACUAAAGAGCAAACAAGGGCGUUACAGCUUUUCAAAAGAAAUGCUGACUGGAAGGAACACGUGCAGCAUUAGAAGGCCUGCCAGUCACAUGGCUUUCUUCACUUGUGCCUUCUGUUUCUUUGCUUUGUUAAUUCCUUCUAUAAGGCACAUUAUUCUGACUUUUUACAAGACUGUUCAUCUUGGUAUUUUUUUUAAUUUUUAUUUUUUCCUGGAAGGUAAGGGAGAAAGUUGGAAAGAGUGAAAAAGAGAGAGGGAGAGAAAGAAAUGGAGAGAUGGAGUAUUUCUAAAAUUUUUAUUGUCAAGGAGAAAAACACUGAUAACACACUGAUGUUCAGCAGCAACUAGAAACAGUAUUGUUCAGAGCCAAGGCCAUUCUCAGCAAAGAGCCCAAGUCAUGGAAGAUGAGCCAGCAGUCAGGGAGGCCGGUCUGGCUGAACAGAGACCUUUGGCGAGAACUCAAGAGCAAAAGGAAAGUUUAUGGUCUCUGAAAGAGUGGGCAAGCUACUUAUGAUGGUUACAGGUACGUAGUGAAGCUUUUUGAAAAUUUUGUCACAGAUCAAGGCUUUCUGAUUCCAUCUGGCUUGCUGUUGUGUUCUGGUAUGUGCUUUUUUUCAGGUGUAAUGUAAUGGGGGAAAAUUGCUUCUUGUGUUUUUUUGUUGUUGGUAGUUCAGUGGUUUGUAAAUCUAGGUACAGCAAAUAACACUGUUAUCAAUACUAACUCUCAUUAUUAAUGUCAGGUCUUCAGGUGUCCGUAAAUACCAGCUUUUAAGCAUGAAACUGAAACUUUCUGUUAGAAGUAUCGUUUGUGUUUAACUUUUGGCAAAGAUAAAGCAAAUUUGUUCUAUAUUUCUCUAAGAACAAAUAUAUAUAUAUAUACAUAUAUAUAUAUAUGAGAAAGACUCACUUUCCUGCUAAGAAUUGUUAAGAUCUUUUUUUGAUUGCAUGAACUUUAGAGCAGGAACUUGAUGUUGAACUAGAGAGACUUUGUUUUAGGGCAAACCUCUUCUGUUUUGAAUGAAAAAAAAAAAAGACUACUUUUUUCUUCAACUUCGGAAUCUUUAAAGAAACUACAGUUAAGGAGACUUUCAAUUAUACUUACAAUUAUAGGAGACUUUCAAAAGCUUUGCAGCUUAAUUAGCUCAGAAUUCCAGCUGCUCUGAGCACAUGCUCCCUCCAAGCUAUUUUCAGACAUCACCCAUGCACACAUACCAACAGAUAUUCCAAUGGGAGAUUGGAUCCUAAGGGUUCAGAAGGAUUUGGGUGCCUCUGAUUCAUUGCAGGCUGAGCUGGGGCUGAGAUCUAAGGAGGCCUUUCUCCUUCUCUGAAGGAGAAUAUAUUUAAUUUGAACCUGGAGAAGAGAAGUGAUG
ensembl:lncRNA